rnacentral:rRNA from 1 species
ACGGAGGGUGCAAGCGUUAAACGGAAUUAAUGGGCGUAAAGGGUGCGUAGGUAGUUUGAUAAGUGAUCUGUAAAAUCCCCGAGCUUAACCUGGGCAGGUAAGAUAAAACUGUUGAACUCGAGUAUGGGAGAGGGUAGUGGAAUUUCCGGUGUAGCGGUGAAAUGCGUAGAGAUCGUAAGGAACACCAGUGGCGAAGGCGGCUACCUGGACUAAUACUGACACUGAGGCACGAAAGCGUGGGGAGCAAACAG